rnacentral:rRNA from 1 species
GACCUCGGAUCAGCAGGGAUACCCGCUGAACUUAAGCAUAUCAAAAAGCGGGAGGGAA